rnacentral:rRNA from 1 species
UACGGGGGGAGCAAGCGUUGUUCGGAUUUACUGGGCGUAAAGUGUGCGCAGGCGGCAGAGCAAGUCGAGUGUGAAAGCCCCGAGCUUAACUUGGGAAUUGCGCUCGAAACUACUUUGCUGGAGUGUGGCAGAGGAAGGUGGAAUUCCACGUGUAGCGGUGAAAUGCGUAGAGAUGUGGAGGAACACCGAUGGCGAAGGCAGCCUUCUGGGCCAACACUGACGCUCAUGCACGAAAGCGUGGGGAGCAAACAGG